rnacentral:rRNA from 1 species
CACGUAGGGCGCAAGCGUUGUCCGGAAUUAUUGGGCGUAAAGAGCUCGUAGGCGGUCUGUUGCGUCUGCUGUGAAAACCCGGGGCUUAACCCCUGGCCUGCAGUGGAUACGGACAGACUAGAGGUAGGUAGGGGAGAAUGGAAUUCCCGGUGUAGCGGUGAAAUGCGCAGAUAUCGGGAGGAACACCGGUGGCGAAGGCGGUUCUCUGGGCCUUACCUGACGCUGAGGAGCGAAAGCGUGGGGAGCGAACAGG